rnacentral:rRNA from 1 species
ACUAACAAGGAUUCCCCUAGUAACUGCGAGUGAAGCGGGAAAAGCUCAAAUUUAAAAUCUGGCGGUCUUUGGCCGUCCGAGUUGUAAUCUAGAGAAGUAAUGCCCGUGCUGGACCGUGUAUAAGUCUCCUGGGAUGGGGCGUCAUAGAGGGUGAGAAUCCCGUCUUUGACACGGACUACCAGUGCAUUGUGGUAUGCUCUCAAAGAGUCGAGUUGUUUGGGAAUGCAGCUCAAAAUGGGUGGUAAAUUCCAUCUAAAGCUAAAUAUUGGCGAGAGACCGAUAGCGAACAAGUACCGUGAGGGAAAGAUGAAAAGAACUUUGGAAAGAGAGUUAAACAGUACGUGAAAUUGCUGAAAGGGAAACGCUUGAAGUCAGUCGCGUCGGCCAGGGAUCAGCCUUGCUCUUGCAUGGUGUACUUUCUGGUUGACGGGUCAGCAUCAAUUUUGACCGCUGGAAAAGGGCCUGGGGAAUGUGGCAGCUUCGGCUGUGUUAUAGCCCCUAGUCGCAUACAGUGGUUGGGAUUGAGGAACUCAGCACGCCGCAAGGCCGGGUUUCGACCACGUUCGUGCUUAGGAUGCUGGCAUAAUGGCUUUAAGCGACCCGUCUUGAAACACGGACCAAGGAGUCUAACAUGCCUGCGAGUAUUUGGGUGGAAAACCCGAGUGCGCAAUGAAAGUGAAAGUUGAGAUCCCUGUCGCGGGGAGCAUCGACGCCCGGACCAGAACUUUUGGGACGGAUCCGCGGUGGAGCAUGUAUGUUGGGACCCGAAAGAUGGUGAACUAUGCCUGAAUAGGGUGAAGCCAGAGGAAACUCUGGUGGAGGCUCGUAGCGAUUCUGACGUGCAAAUCGAUCGUCAAAUUUGGGUAUAGG